AACGUAGGAGACAAACGUUAUCCGGAGUUACUGGGCGUAAAGGGCGUGUAGGCGGUCUGUUAAGUCUGGCGUGAAAGCUCUCGGCUAAACCGGGAGAGGUCGUUGGAUACUGGCAGACUAGAGGACGGUAGAGGCGUGUGGAAUUCCGGGUGUAGUGGUGAAAUGCGUAGAGAUGUGGAGGAACACCAAUGGCGAAGGCAGCCUUCUGGGCCAACACUGACGCUCAUGCACGAAAGCGUGGGGAGCAAACAGG
rnacentral:rRNA from 1 species